rnacentral:rRNA from 1 species
GUGAGGAAUAUUGGACAAUGGGCGCAAGCCUGAUCCAGCCAUGCCGCGUGCAGGAAGACGCAUCUAUGGUGUGUAAACUGCUUUUGUACGGGAAGAAACACUCCCUCGUGAGGGAGCUUGACGGUACCGUAAGAAUAAGGAUCGGCUAACUCCGUGCCAGCAGCCGCGGUAAUACGGAGGAUCCAAGCGUUAUCCGGAAUCAUUGGGUUUAAAGGGUCCGUAGGCGGUUUAAUAAGUCAGUGGUGAAAGCCCAUCGCUCAACGAUGGAACGGCAAUUGAUACUGUUAGACUUGAAUUACAAGGAAGUAACUAGAAUAUGUAGUGUAGCGGUGAAAUGCUUAGAUAUUACAUGGAAUACCAAUUGCGAAGGCAGGUUACUACUUGUGGAUUGACGCUGAUGGACGAAAGCGUGGGGAGCGAACAGGAUUAGAUACCCUAGUAGUCC